rnacentral:rRNA from 1 species
UACGUAGGGUGCAAGCGUUAAUCGGAAUUACUGGGCGUAAAGCGUGCGCAGGCGGUUUUGUAAGUCUGACGUGAAAUCCCCGGGCUUAACCUGGGAAUUGCGUUGGAGACUGCAAGGCUGGAGUCUGGCAGAGGGGGGUAGAAUUCCACGUGUAGCAGUGAAAUGCGUAGAGAUGUGGAGGAACACCGAUGGCGAAGGCAGCCCCCUGGGGUAACACUGACGCUCAUGCACGAAAGCGUGGGGAGCAAACAGG